AGAGAUAGAAAAUAGUUACGCAGACUUUAUGCGCUAAUGAUAUUUUUUUUUUCCUUUUUUUUUUUUUUUUCUUUCUUUUCCUUCUUUCAGUUGCUCCACGAGUUUUAUUUCGAAUAUUCAUUGGCAUUCACGUUUUAUAUUAUUUUUCAUACCGAUAGCUCAGUCACCGUUUAACGUUACCGACGUAUUAAUCUGUCGUAAUAGCUUACCUUAUAUCGCAGUUGCAAUUUAUAUAAAUUUCUUUUUUCCAUAAUAUCACGAUAGAUAUGAAAUUUUCUUCGUGCGUAUAUAAACUUACGAUCCUACCUAGUUUUUUACAAUCCUCUUAAUGUCUCCAUUCCGAUGCAAUUAUAGGAAUAUUCCAUCAAAUUUAUGCAGCGUUCGCGUCACGUCAUCACGAUAUUUUUCCGCUCGUUAUAUUUCCUACAGCUGAUAUCAUCGCCGUCGUCAUUUUCUUUCAUUUCUUAUUCAGUUUGCAUUUAAUAAUAAAACGUAUAAAGUAUACACAUAGAUUUGAGAAAUUUUUUACGAGCUCGAUUUCGUUAUGUUACAAUGAAAGUCGUUUAAAUGAAAAAUAAUAGCGAUCGAGAAAAGAAGAAUUUCUUUUAAAAGAGAAUAAUUUAUGAAGGUCCUUCGAAGAGAGUUUGGAAGAUCAAUGAGAAAGUGCGAUUCGAACGGUAUCGACCUUCGGUUAGAAAGAACAAAAGAGUAUCGGCAGUGAGGUCACUUAGAUAUUGGCAAACGCGUGCCUUGCACGCAAUAACGCUUUCUACGUUCCGGAACCAUAAAUAACAUUCAGAAAGAUCACUGAGACUAGAUUAAAGCGAUCCGUUACGUACGAAACACCGGUCGGAAAGAAAAUUUGAAUAAUAUCGAACAUUAGCGAGCAGCGUAGCUUUACACGAAAGCCGCGAGGAUAGUGCAUCGAGUCGCAUCGUUCUUAUACCUCCAUUCUACUUUUUUUCUUCUAUCUUUCUUUUCCUUCUUUUUCUUAUCCUCUCGUCGCCCUUCUCUCUUCCCUUCACCGCUGAGUGCCUCAUGGUAUCAGUGACACGGAAAACAUGGCAGUUCGACGGCGCGCAGAGAGAAGUCGAUGUAGCAGGAAAACAAGCGUAAGAGCGCAGGAACCGUGGAAUAUAUUUAUAGCCGCCUCGAGCUAUUAAGAUAAUUUAUCGGGGCCAUUACCGAACAAACGAGAGCAUUAAUCUAUUCUAGCUUCAUAAAGAGAACUUCGUCGACGAUUUUGUAGCCCGCGCGCCAAACGAGCACUUCGGAGUAAAUUGAUGGAUCCCCCUGACCUGACGGAGGACCCUCCGUAAAUUGCUCGUAAAUUUUUAUUUAUUCCACCACAAAUAAAAGUCUCCGUAACAGUGGAGAGAGAGAAGGAAAAAAGGGGGAGAAGAAGGGAGGAGGAUGGUUCUUGGUCUCCUGCUAGGACGACUCUCACAAAGUGCACGCACGCACGCACACGUACAAAUACACGCUCUCUCUCUCUCUGUCUCUCUCUCUCUUUCUCUUUUUUUUCUCGCUAGAGCUGUCUGGUGGAGUUCGUCGAUCGCCGAUCGCUAAUAGAAGUCCGACGGUUCUCAUCCAUCGUGAGCCGUUGCGCCAUUGCAUGACACCUCGACUUUACGAUUCUCCGAUAUUUAUGUCGACCGUUGGGUCACCGUGUCUUCCGUUUGAAACGUACUUUAUGCGAUCCUUGCGCGUAGCAGCCGUCGUUUUAACGAACUUUACGAGCGAAAUGUGCCUGGAAUGUAUAACUAUAAUAUUAUAACGCCGUUCUUAAUCUCAUAGUUCGUUGCCAAGAUAAUUUGGCGAUGAAACGAUGCGUCGGAUUUUUUAUUCGAUGGAGGAAGGGGAAAAGGUGAGGCGAGAAAGAGGAUCGCAAUAAAAUCAUCAUCCUUGAUCUCUUUCUUAAGAGAUUAGCUACCUAAUCUUCUUAACGAAGUCGUCGAGAGCCAAACGUUUACCACUUUCUUAAGACACCUCUUGGAGUCGAGCAUGUAUUGGAAGGCAAAGAUGGCCGACGAGGAAAGAAAAAAAGUGGAAAGCGACGCGACAGGUGAUGGAUCGUGGCAUCGUCGUUAACGCGUUCGUGUCUUCGUCGUUCGUGUAUUUGUCUUCGAAGUUAAAUCCGUUACGCAGGAAGCUCGAUUAUUUCUCGACGUUCCGCGUGCAACAUAUACAUGCAUAUAGAUACCUAUACAUAUAACGGAUAACGAAUAACGAAAGGAAGAGGAGCGACGAAUCCGCGUAAGAGAGUCGUAGGCACGUAGGCAAUACAUCCGCCUACGGCGACUAUCCGCAACACAACGCCGGAAAGGUUCGCGUUGAAUCCCAGUGGCGUGACAGGCUGCCUACGCGCGGCUGUAUCUGCAUUGAUCAAAGCAGCAAUUACUGUCAUCGUAAUAUUACUCGGGACGUUACUCACGUCGUGGGGGCAGCGCUCGGGAGAGAAAGAGGGAAGACAACUGCGAUAGCAGCGCCACGACCGAACCGCGACGAAGCCGCGACGGAGCCGCGAAAAAGCCGCGGCAGCACCGCGACAAUGCCACGUUGGCACCGCACCGAUCGCAGCGCCAACUUCCAAGCUCCGACUUCCAGCAGCGUUUAAACGAUUUUACCUAAGGAUGGCAACUUUGGAGAUUUUCCUUCUUCGCAUACAAAGGGAAAAAUGGAAAAAUUGUCUUUUGUUUGCACUGCGAAAACUAAGAAGCAUUGUUCCAAUUUAAAAACAACGAUAUGUCUACAUACAAAGAAUAUAAAAAAAUAUUCGAGUUAAAUAAAUCACAAACACUUAUUAUUUUAGGACAAUA